rnacentral:rRNA from 1 species
GAUGAACGCUGGCGGCGUGCCUAAUACAUGCAAGUCGAGCGAACGGACGAGAAGCUUGCUUCUCUGAUGUUAGCGGCGGACGGGUGAGUAACACGUGGAUAACCUACCUAUAAGACUGGGAUAACUUCGGGAAACCGGAGCUAAUACCGGAUAAUAUUUUGAACCGCAUGGUUCAAAAGUGAAAGACGGUCUUGCUGUCACUUAUAGAUGGAUCCGCGCUGCAUUAGCUAGUUGGUAAGGUAACGGCUUACCAAGGCAACGAUGCAUAGCCGACCUGAGAGGAAGAUCGGCCACACUGGAACUAAGACACGAUCCAAAAUCCAACGGGAGGCAGCAGUAGGUAAUCUACAGAAAUGAGCGAAAGCCUGACGGAGCAACGCCGCGAUAUUGAGGAAGUUCUACGAAUCGUAAAACUAUCUUAUUAGAGAAGAACAAAUGUGUAAAUAACGAUGCACAUCUGGACGAAACCUAAACAGAAAGCCACGGCAAAUUAAGG